UUAAUCGGGACCAACCAUUUGAUAGAGCAUUAAGUAUUCCGUCAUUUCGUCUGCCCUACGCUUGGCUUGAUUUUUGAUCAUUAGUUUUAGAAGUUAUUUUGUCAUUUUUGAACGCUCGGCUUAUCCAUUAAUAGCACGAAAAUGGACAGAAGUUUGGACGAACUUAUUAAAGAAAACCCGAAAAAAUUCAGCCUCAACAAAGGGAGAUAUCAGCCAAAGCCUAACAAAAAUUCUGGAAAUGCUACUGGAGUGAAAAGAGGUGGAAUUCGCAAUAAUAAAAAAAAUUACAAUAAUUCACUGCCAGGUGUGGCCAAAAAUGGAGGAGGUCGUGUGACCAAGCAAGGCGGCAGACAGAAUGGUGCAAAUCCUGUUUUUAAGGGAAAUUCUAACAAACAGAAUGUAAAGCCACCAACCAAGAAAGGUGGUGUCAUUGUUGUUGAUGCUAGAAAUAAGCUGUUGGCCAAAAAUAGGCUCAAAAUUACUGAUGCAAGAGAUCGCUUGGCUGCAAUGGCAAAGAAAACUGACCUCCGCCAGAAACUAGCUUCAAAGAAACCAGAGCUUUCAAGAAAACCAGCAGUAUUGCACACAAGGCCAAAUCAAGGAAUAAAAAAGUUAAUACGAGAGGUAGGAAGAUCCCACAAUCUUACCAGGACAACAAUUGGCAGAACGGUGGAAAAUGAGCUAGCUAGAUUGAAUGUUGGACCUGUGGCUUCUCAUUAUAUCCCACCCAGAUAUGAUCUCCUCCCUCCACCUAACUUUUACCCUUACCACCAGCAAGCUCCCAGUUAUGACCUUAAGCAUAACAUGAGUACUGCAGCAAUGGACUGUGAACCCCCUUUGUCAGCAACCAAGCGAAUCCUUUCCGCCGAAAAGCGUCUUGGCCCAAGGACGGAGGUCAAGUCGAAACCCGAGACUGGACACAGGAUUUAUGUGAGCAAUCUUCAUCCAAAAGUGACACAAGAAGACAUCGUCGAACUCUUUGGUGACGUAGGCUCCUUAGUAAGAGCGUCACUUCAACGACCCGGCGUUGCAGAAGUUGUCUAUGUUCGUCGUGAUGAUGCCUUGAGAGCCGUCGAUGUCUACCAUAAUCGACAAUUGGAUGGACUCCCUAUGCACUGUAGUAUGGGUGCCAUUUUUGAACCCAGACGAGAAGCAGCUCCUGCGGCAAUGAAACCAAGGGCUCCGUUAAGCUCGGGCAAGGCUCAUAUCGCGCCAGAUAUUGGAACUAUUCACAAGGCACUGUUUAAUAAAGCAACCUCUCGCAACUCACAGAUUUUCACUGUCACUUUACCCAAGAAAGACACGUGAAUUUGUUAAUUGAAGGUAAACAAGGUUCUGGUUGACCCACUACCAACUGGUUCGUGUUUUUUUUUUUUUUGUCGUGACAGUUAUCUUUUUUUUUUUCCGCACCUUGUCCAUUUCUUUUGUGCUGGACGAAGUUACUCUGAAAGAACUCCCCAAGUCAGGACUGAAUUCCACGCUUCCGUUGUCUUCCGCCGUUAUACCCACAGGAUAGAUACUGUCCAUUAGACUGUGAUCAACUGUCGGUCGACCGUUAUCGGAUUUUGCACCAAUCAUGUCGUCGAACCGAUAGCCCCAUAAAAUCUCGCAGGGUAAAUAAGAGGACAUGGCCUGUGUUGACAUAUCCGUUGACGAAGUAGUGCCUUCGAGAGUGACGAUAAUUUCAAAUGCAGCUUGCAUCAUGUCAGCUUCGUUCAUGCCAUAUAAAGGAGAUUCAACCGUGAUUGAAUGAACUAUAGUAGUUGGCCAGAGGAGAAGCAAGUCUGAAUCUUCUCCAGAAGGAUGCAAUCGAAGAGGUUGCUGAUCUAGAGUAACGACAUGUCCUUCUCGGGUUGUGCGAGUCUGACUGACAAGAGUGGCCCUAAUUCGGGCGCCGAUGAUACGAGAAGUGUGUCGAUCAGCUAUUCUAAACAUCAGAGAAAGUUGUCCAUCUUGUUGGCAAAUCACGGAGAACUGACUGAAUGCAAUUGCUUGGGCUCGCCAUUUCGUCCGUACUAAUUUCGUAAAAACCACACCAACGAGGAAGGCCUCAAUAAUGGUACCCAGAAUAGCCUGUUAAUGUUACGAUAGCAGCAGCACAGUCCUCAGUGACUCGCGAAAAUCCAAAUCCAAUCGUCGUUUGAAUUUCCAGGCUGAAAAGGAAAAUCGAUGUGAAAUCUCUGAUGUUUUCUACGCACGGUUGACUGCUAUUAGCAACCACGUCUCCGACAAGGCCUAAAAAUGGCAUUUACCCGAUUGCUGCCUAGACUUCUUAAGAAAAAUGUCAACAAAUCUUACCAGAUUCCUUUGUUUCGAAGUCACCAUGGAAAUAGCAUAUCAACCAAAAGAGGACGGCGAACAUUGUCCAUGUUACAUAGAAGCUGGCGAAAAAUAUAAAUCCUGUCCAUCGCCACUUAGCGUCAACCAGCCAAGUAAAUAGGCCAACAAAAGUUCCAGUUCCAGGUCCAGUAAUUUGGCCAUUGCUGAUGUUAGAUUCUCCUGAUUUUGUGACGAGUCGCCUAAAGCUGUUACGUUUUCUGAAAAGAAACCAGAAAUGACGUCUGGUCCUGCUUGGGUGUGAUUACUAUAGAUCGAGAAGUAGUAGUUUGUUCUGGAUUGCUGUUAUUCCAUCCCUGUUUUCCACUAUCGGGCAACAUUGGCUCCAGUGAUUCGAUGACCGCUGUAGAGGAUUCCAUCACAGAACGUUUGUUACUUAUACUUAGUUAUAGAAUUGGUGGUUUUGCUUUCAAGCUGAAGAAAACAUCCGAAUUGUGCUAUGCAGUUAAGCAUAUGAAACGUCACUUUCAAGAAACACGACCACCAUCUAUGAAAGCAGUUCACGUAAAGCCAACCAAAAAACGUAGGUGAAAAAUCAACUGGUUAUCGUGAAUUACAUUAACAUGGACCUAAUUACAAAAACGAAAAUGGAAUCAAUCCGGAGUGACGUAGAAGGGAUACUACUUUUGAUUGGUAGGUUCUCCUUUUUCCUUUUUUAUUAUGUGCUAGAAAAUAUGACCGUUGAACGACAGGUAGAUCAUAUUGUUCUCAUCUUACCGGAUUUUCGUAGUAAACAUUGAUUUCAAUGCCAUACUAUUUUGUAUACAACUUGGGAGGAACAUCCUUUGAAUAGAAUUCUGUCCAUUACCGCAGAGGUGCUUCCUCUCCUGUAAAAAAUUCGUAUGCUAGCAAAUCAGGUCGCGGGUUCGCAUUACAGCACUUGAAAAUUCCAUAGUGUGAUUAUCGGUAACACAGAAGACUGCUGCAAAAUUUACGAAAACAUCCGAAAGUUUGGCCACAUGUUAUUAUUACGAUCGAUUUUGGGGUCUUUACGUUUGGGGUUAGAGGAUGACGUAUCCUUCUCGGUAUUAAUAUUGAUGUCCCUUAUCUAUUUUUCUGCUUAAUUUUGCUAUAAGGUUUCUUACAUCUUAACAUUGUAUGUUUGGGCAAGUCCUUUUUUCUUUUCUUUUUUUCUCUCGUUUUUUUUAUAAACGAAUUAACUUCUCUUUUUUGUCGGAUUCAUUAGGUCCUAAGCCAACAUAUUACAUUGCUGUCGAUCGAAAUAUGAAAAGGCCAAAUCUUAAGGAACCGAUAACACGGGAUGACUUGGUGGCGAAUGCGACGAACUGUUCUAACAGAAUAAAGCAAUUGAAAGCUUUUCACUUCAACUAGUUCCAGCUUCUUGCUUUGGAACAACUCGCACAAAGGGUUUGUUUGCAUUUGCCGAAUCUACCAAAUGACUUGGCUCGACAUUCCGUCUAUCCGUCGUUACUUUAAUAUGGUUAAGCAACCACCUUUUAUUUUGCCUUCUUCUAUAGACACUUUCUUUCAAUUACAGUGACGUUUUCAUGGAUUUUCUCCCAAGAUUCUUCAUUAAUUUUCUUUGGUAAUAUUUAUAUUCCUUUGGGUUUUCCCCCGUUUUUUUACUGAAAGAUUUAAGAAGACAAGGUAAAUGUUAGGUUGAAAAUCUGACAACUAACGGAAUAUGUGUAGAAUAUUCGAUAGGAAAACGUUGACCAUCUUUUCUUUCAGUGCCUGUUUCUAGUGUCAGGUAAACUGUUCAUGUCUGUGAUACGUUGCCAUCUAGUCAUCGCAAAAUGCAGACUUCCGGAUCGAAUCAGCGGAGAUUUAAAAAAUGAAACACCACCAAUGAAAGACGAACUGGUGAAACAUUUUAUUGACGAAAGCGGAUCGAAGUCCACAUUAUUAUGUCUCCUUCCGGCUGUUCGAAAAAAACAAAAAUCCAGUUUUGGUAACUGGAUCAGUUUGCUGAAACCAUUUCUUCCGUCCCCACCAUUUUAAUCUUACAACUCUAAUGAUCUGUCUUGCGUUACGCCAUCGACUCACGCGGGAUUCAGCCACAUGGGAAGAUCGAAAUUGUCUUUUUUUCCCGCUCAUUUACAGGAUGUAUCAGUUAGCGCGUUUUGCAUCGGAUUGAUUGUUAUGCUGACGGGUGUGAAUCUGGAAUAUUUGGUGACUAAAACAUUAUGAUUGAAAUAGAUCUGUAUAGAACGUUGGAUACAGUAAAAUAAGAGAGGGCAACAUUAAUUCAGGAGUUUCAACAUGGAGUAGCUGUAAUCUAUGACUCUGAUGUAACUAAGAGAUCCGGAAGAAGAGUUUUGGGAAGGACUAGGACUAUAAAUCGACAUUCAUAAAAAAAAUAUCAAUAUAAAUUUAAAGUUACUAAACCUAUACAGGCUUAAAAAGAAGCCCGACAAAAGAAUCCAGACUUUCCUUUUUUUUUUUUUUAAUAGCACACGUACAUUGCUUUAAAAUUACAUGAUUUCUAUUCAAAAUUCAAGAUUGAUCUCAAUUUCGUUGCAAGUUUGGCUUCAAACGAAAGUGGGUGGUGCCUUAACCGCUGCUGCAUAUUUUAAAGACAUCUAGGGGAGAAAUGACUAACUCCAAAUCAUUUCCAUGGAUACAUCAGCUGUUCUAUCAGCCGUUUUAUUUCCCGUGUCGUCUUAUUGAGGAAUGUAGCUCUAUCGAACGUGGUCUUCACAGAAAUUUCACCCCCGAUUGCGUUUGUCUUGGCCUGGAUUUUGUGGAUGAAAUCCAUUUUAAGUUGUUAAAUGAAGAGCAUGGCUUGGUUUUACAAGCACGUUGUUCAUCUCCAAUUCUCCAUUAGUCAAGUCCACCCAUUUUGGUACCGAAGGUGCUACAUAAAAAAAGGCAUUUCUUUGUGAUCUUUUCAAGAGCUAGACUCCAUCAGGUUUUUGGGGUUUGCCUGAUAUGCUGUGGUGGCCGCAGAAUCAUUCUGUGACAAAAAUGAAUACUAACAAUGUUCUGUUAGCGGAAUGCAAGAUUUCCAGUAUUAAUCUGGCAUUGGUGAAUUAUUAGCUCACAUGCAAGAAACAAAGAAGUUCAAGAUGAUUUUGGUUUCGACAUUGUUCUUUACUGAUUAGUUGAGUUUGUCACAUUGUGAAGUUUAUUGAAAUACUUCAAUCUAUUAAAAUUCUUUGACAAUA